UAACAAGAAAACAAAUUUUAAAUAAAGUAAGAAGGAAACUUUUUUUAAAACCGGUAGCAAUUUUUAGAACAAAUCCGUAUGAUGGAUUAUUUUAUGAGACAAUCAAGACGACAAAACAAUGAUUUUGCAACACACAGAAGAACGGUUUUCUGUAGAGGAUGUUGUUCGUGUUCAUUUGAUGUGCGCGAACUUUGCUGUGCGGUAAAGAAUGAUCAAAGCGUGUGUCCAUUUAUUCAAGAUUUGGACACACGGUAUGAGGGUAAAAUUAAAGAUGGCAGCAAAGUUUAAAAAAUUGGCUGUGGUUAAAUUUCUUGAUGAAAAACAAAAAGCAUGUGUGCCAUGGACGUUAUCUGUUUGUAAUGGCUGUUCAAUGAAAGUUUAGUGUGUUGGCCAAAUCACUUGCGAUCAUCUCGCCAUUUAACUGCCAUAUGCGAAGCAGUACUUACUCCUGAAAAUAACUGGAAACAGCUAAAAAUAAGAUUUCUUUUUUAUUCUGACAGUUAUGAAUCUGCUGUAGAACAAAUGGAAACGUUAGAGUUCACAUCAAGCGUUGAAACAGCUGCUGAUAGUGAUGAAUAAUUGCCCAUGCCACCAGCUAAAAAGUUAGCAGGUUGCAACACAAGUGACACUGAGGAGACAUAUCCAUCAGUUUCCCCAAGAUUGAAGAAAUGUUUUAAUUGCCAAAAAAUAUUACAAUCCACAACUGUUUGAUUUAUUGAGCCAUUUAGUUCGAAUCGCUCUCUACCGAUAUUAUCCUCUUCUGAUAAGAGCUUGGCAAGCAACUGUUGUGGCUGCUUUAGGCACCCGAUUUGCUGCAUUUGAGAAAAAAAGUUUAGAGCUGCCUUGUCAGUAUUCAAUAUGAUUUGAAAAAGUUAAACACUCGCCUAAUCAAUUUAGAAAGAGGUUUAGUGUUUCCUUCUGUUAGCAAUCAGAGCAUAGCAGGACCAUUCCCAUCAGUUAAAUGGAAUUAUUUGCCUGUUAAAGAGGAAAAAGAACUUCUAGACCUGGAUGAAAAAUUACGGAACAAAUGCACCUAUGAAUCUUUGGUAUGCAUCAGUGAAUUGACAUCAGUUAAUAGUUUUUAUAAACAGUUCCAUGUGCAUUUAAAAUAUCUAUACUAUAAAAUUUACUAUACAUUUGAUUUUAAUUAAGAUAUGGAAAAGAAUGCUAUUUAUGAAAUUGUUUGUGGUUUUAACCAUUUAUGCUCAAUUAGCUCAUUUAGUAGAGCAAUGAUUCUAUUAAUCACAGGGAGCCUCGCAUUAGAUACUCGAGAUUGCAUUCACCCCAAUUUUUUUGCUGUGUUAAAGACAACCUAUGCUAGUGAAUGAAAAAUCUGAUACUAUAGUAUCAGAUUUUUUACUUAAUAUAUUGUGAAAUUAUUGGUUGGGGUAUAAGAAGCUCAUAAACCUGUAUGAAAUUUUGUGUGGUAUUCUUCCUAGUGUUUUUAUCAUUUUAUAAAACAUUUAUGACAAUAAGUCUUGAUCGCCAAAACAGCUUGACCUCAGAGAUUGCAUCUAUUUGAAACAAAUUGCUUUUUCUCCAUGUCAUAUUUGAAUAUCUCAUUAUAAAUGGUUUUUAAAUGGGUGUGCAGGUAAAUAUAAGAAUUGCAAAAAUAUGUUAAAUCUUUGUUUCCAUUGUGAAGAUUUUGGUUUUUCUGCUAAAUGGAACUUUUUUGCAACUAGUCAAGGUAAGCAACCUUGUUAUGGGAUAGGUGGUACAGUCAAACGUCUAGCAACACUAGCAAGUUUGCAAAGAGAUAUGGAUAAUCAUAUUUUAUCUCCACAAACAAUGUAUAAAUAUUGCAAUGAAAACAUUGAAGGCAUAAAUUUCAUGUAUAUUUCAUCAAAAGAUUUAACUUUGGUGAGAACCGCUCUUAAAGAACGAUUGGAUACUGCUAAAACAAUACCUGGAACACGUAGUUUCCAUCACUUUGUACCACGUGGCCAUCAAAAGGUAGGCACUAAGCUAUGCAGUUUUGAUGAAGAAUUUGCUUUACUUCAUGACUGGAAAUAUCCAAAUAACAGCUGUUAACCUAGUACCAGGUGAUUAUGCCUGUGUUUCCUAUGAGCAAAAGUGGAGAAUAGAAGUCAUUGAAGAUAUUAAUUUAGAAGAAAAAGAUGUGCUUGUAAAAUUUAUGUGUCCUAAUGGUCCUGCACGGUUGUUUAAAUGGACAUCAAAAGAAAGCCAAUGCUGGAUUCCUAAUAUCCACAUUAUUUGCAAAAUUGAGGUACCGAUAGCAAAAAACAGAACUUUGCUACUAUUUAGCCAAAGAGGACGUAAAAUUAUUUUCCUAAGGAAGUAGAAAUUUUUAUA